rnacentral:snRNA from 1 species
ACUGAUUUCCGGAUCUGAAUAAA